AACCUUGAGGCAAAAUAUAUAAAACAAUGCAAUUUUUAAAACAAGUUUAGCCAAUUUCUGUCAUAACCAGGUGGACUAGAAACACUGAUGGAUGGUAAUGAACUGAGCAGGAUUUAGCUUCCCAAACUUAUGCAGAAGUGUAAAUUCUGAAGUCUUAUGUUAAUGGCUGAAAGAUUCAGAGUGGAAACUUGAUCUAAUUGUACCAUCUUCGAGGUGGGACUGGUGAGAGAUCUUUAGGUCACUGGAGUUUGCCCUUGGAAGGCAGUUCUUGCAACACAGUUGGUUCGUUAAGCCAAGUUUGGCCUAGCAUCACUCUCCCGCUUGCAGGCUCACCGUGGGAUGGCUCCUCUGCACACACUCCACCAAGGCCAGCCUCCACCAGAUGCCACACUAACAGAGCCACCCAAUCCUGAACUGUGAACCUCCAAAUUGUGAUCUGAAAUAAACCUUUUCCUUCCCAGGGAGCUCCUUUUGGGUAUUUGACAGUUAGGAAAAGCUGACUAAUACAAUGACUCUCCACUGAGAAAACAACUAAAAAUUCCAGAAAAGAAAGACAGACGCCUUCCUGAGCAGCUGAGGAGCACCAAGGAGUCAAAGAACCAGUAAGGGGUAUCUGCAAGGAAAGGGGCCCAUCUUGAAACUCAGCAGUCAAUGGAUAAGCAAAUGCCUCAUUCUGAUUCUGCUCAACCAACAAUUAUUGCUGUCAUUCUUUUUGGUGGGAUUGGCGGAGAUGCAAAUACACAGUAUCACUGAAUCCAUUCUGAGUUCCAUGAAACAGAAGAAUCCUCCCAUAAUCUGAUAUUUCUUGAGGCAAUUUUCCUUGCCUAAAAUCCUCAACAAAGCUAAAAAUACCAUCCACAGAAAGCAUCUGAAACAGGAAGAGCUGAAAUCUCCGCUAGUAACUAGAAGCUUUUCAGAACACUCAGAGAUCUGGGAAUGCUGCUAAGCAACGGACACCAAGACAUUCAAAGCCUGCCAUUCAGAACACGCACCUUUCUCCGUGGACUUUGCAUUCCUUGAACAAACCUGUGCUGCUAUCCUCAACACUGGAGCCCAAAGACCAGAAGUUAGAUCUGCUAACUGAAAAGAUGAGCACAGCGGGCACUGCCACUCAUGCUUUAUUAAAUUACUGUGAUAUACAAUGAAAAUAUAAACCCAACAUGAAA